CAAAAAAGACAUUGAUGUCAUAAAAUUUCUAGGAGUAGUUCAUCGCAGUGUAAAAUAUGUCACUUCCUGUUGCCAAUAGGUGGCGCUAUGACUAUAACUGAAUAUGGGCAUGUCAAUCUUUUCAGGUCAGGAGUCUUAUCAAACAUGUGAAGUUUGUGGCAGAUUGGACAUUGUAUGUCUGAGUUAUAGCAACUUCAUUUUUCAUGGCGAAUCAUCGAAAUUCGUCAGGCCGCCACGGACACGCCCUUCAACGAAAACUCAAGAUCUUCGCA
ensembl:lncRNA